AUUGAACGCUGGCGGCAUGCCUUACACAUGCAAGUCGAACGGUAACAGGUUAAGCUGACGAGUCGCGUACGGGUGAGUAAUACAUCGGUACGUGCUCAGUAGUCUGCGUUAGCCCCUCGAAUGCCGGAUUAAUACCGCAUCCGACCUAAGGUUGUAAGGGGGGGCUCGCAAUACCUCUCGCUAUUGGAGCCUUCCUUGUCAGAUUAGCUAGUUGGUCGGGUAAAAGCCUACCAAGGCGACGAUCUGUAGCUGGUCUGAGAGGUUGAUCAGCCACACUGGGACUGAGACACGGCCCAGACUCCUACGGGAGGCAGCAGUGGGGAAUUUUGGACAAUGGGCGCAAGCCUGAUCGAGCAAUGCCGCGUGCGGGAAGAAGGCCUUCGGGUUGUAAAACGCUGUUAUCAGGGAAGAAAACAUGUGGGUUAAAACCUGGAGGGGAUGACGGUACCUGAAGAAUAAGCAACGGCUAACUACGUG
rnacentral:rRNA from 1 species